rnacentral:rRNA from 1 species
GUCUACGGCCAUACCAUCCUGAACGCGCCCGAUCUCGUCUGAUCUCGGAAGCUAAGCAGGGUCUGGCCUGGUUAGUACUUGGAUGGGAGAACAUUUAUUUAUAAAAUUAGAUAGUAGAAGUAA